GUUGAUUGAAACAACAGUAAUUCUUACAGGAUUUGGAUAGAGAAAAGGACAGUAAGUUAACAGUCUGUUCUCUGUUUGAUUUUACUUAGCAGUUGUAGACUAGAAUAUAGAACAGCCUUUCUGAGAAAAUCAAACUGGAAGGCAGAAAUAACAGCAAAGUUUUAAUUAUGUCGGGAGUCAUUUACCACCUGGCAAAUUUUGUCAUAACGUUUCUGUAAAAUUAGUUUUAUCUCUAAAUUCUUUAUAUCCAUUGGUUUUGCAACUACCUUUUACUACAUUGAAGGGUGUAACAUAACAAUAGAUUUCAUAACCACAGUUGUAAUAGAAAAUUGUUUUGUUGAGCUCUUCGGGGUCACAUAAAAUUUCUAUUGUUUUAGUUAAUUGUUGGUAAUAAGGGCAUCAAAACUCAUUCUCAAUGCACAAGAAUGGUUCCUUUCUAAUGGAUGAAGAAACAUAUUAGUGUGACUCUGAACGUUACAUUUUUUGUCAACAAUUGUAUAUUUUUGUCAUUCACCGGAAGUUCACAAUCUUAAUACUCAAGCAAAGCAAGUUUCAUGUCUCGCAGAAAAGUUCACAGAACAUACUAAGCACAUUUCAAACAUGACAAAACCUGUCAUAUAUUGAUAGAAAAACAGCUUAUUGUUUGCAUCCAUUCCAUCCACAAUACUCACAAUCCGGCGACUUACGGUUACACGAUUCAUUCUGAACACAUGUUGGCAGUGGACGUUGGACAUAUGUUUUACAAAGAAGUGUGUAAAAUACAUACAGUCAAAUGAACACAGAAUAAUGUCACAAUGAAUUUUGUUUAUUAUUAUCGGUUUCGAAAAGUGUGUAUAAGUAGUUUAUAUGCUAUGAAGACAUGCUUAGGCGAAGAUUGUGUUUGUUACUUUGUAUUGCUUUCGGCGAAUAAAUACCAAAUAUCAGUGUUUGAAUUUUGUCAAAUAUUACUCGCUCAACUAGAAAUGAUGUUUCAAGCAUAUAAUGCAAUAUGUAGAUGAGCGUACAGGUAAAUAUCUUAAAAUCUCAACUUCUCUUUCUUUUAUAUAAAUAUUUAUUGCAACUGUAACAUAGUAACAAGUUAUCGUUAAUUCCAAGUUGAAAUAACAAUGAUAUACUAUGUACAAGUCUACUGUAUAACUCGUAGAUCAGUUCAUGAAAUUCAAUAAUCUUUGAUUUCACGAUUACUUAAAAACCUGUAAAUAAUUACAUGGAAUAAGAAUGAGUACAAUCAUUAUAAAAUGACAACAUUAAACGCGGGACACAGCAACCUUUAUUACUUUUGAUAUGCAACACCUACUUUGCCAUAAGUUUUCGCUGUUAACUGAUAUCAAGUUUUGUCGUUUAUAAGUAUAUGUUUUAACAGGAAAAUACUAUGAACAACAAAUCAUUUGUUAAAUGACACAUUAAUCUGUUUAAUUGAGUCAUAUAAGGAAGUAGAAAAGACAAGAAGUUUAAUUAAAAUUUUAAUUUUUGUUAAAGGCACUGACCUCCAGAUCGUUCGACAACAAAAUAAAAUAGUUUUUAGAUAUCAGAAGAAUAUUGCUAUAUUUAUUAAAAAGGCCUUGAAGCUUAGUUACUGAUAGAUUAUAUCUUAUGGUAUUAGCUUUUUCUAGCGUUUGUAACGGGGUACUGGAGACAAACCGCCUUAAUUAUAAAGCUUUAUAUCAAACGAUCGUCAAUUACAUAUUUCUCUGUAGUGUAUUGGUCAAGACCGCAAGAAACUAUUUAUUGCCGCGGCGAUCCGGGCCUUUUCCCAUUACGGGCAUGCUUUUGUUCUUGGGGGAAGUUUAGAAACAAAAACUGAUGUGCGAAUGUUCAUAAUUUGACCAAAUUUCAAUUAAAAUCAAGCUUAUUUUUUGGCCCAAAUAUGAAGGUCAGUGCCUUUAAAUUCUUAUACAUCAAGAUCAAAUCUAUUGACAUAUACUACAUAACUGUCGCGAUUAUAUUUUAUAAUUUAUGUUUAUACCCAAUACUCCUAUCGUGAUGUUUCUUAUUUUUGAUACUGUUUUAUCUUACAACGAAGUAAUUAUUGCAAACAGCCGAGGCAGUAGACGGGUCCUGGAGUGACUGGCAUCAUGGGAGGCCUGCUCAACUACAUGUGGUGUAGGAUUGCAGACAUGUCAUCGGAACUGUUCAAGUCCUGCUCCAUUAGGAAAUGGCCGUCAGUGCCUUGGCGAAGUCAACGAACACAGAUUGUGCAUGCCUGGACCUUGUUCAAAUGGAGGUUGGUCAGCUUGGGGAAGAUGGGAAAGUUGCAGUGCUUCUUGCGACGUUGGACUUAAAUCAAGAUUAAGAACUUGUACUCGUCCUAGACCUUCACCGUUUGGUAGUUUUUGCGAAGGUGAUAACAUGCAAACAGAGAUUUGUUGCGGAGAGCCAUGCAGUGACAGAGGUUGGUCAGCUUGGGGAAGUUGGGGAAGUUGCAGUGCUUCUUGCGAUGUUGGACUUAAAUCAAGAUUAAGAACUUUUACUCGUCCUAGACCUUCACCGUUUGGUUGUUUUUGCGAAGGGGAUAACACGCAAGCAGAGAUUUGUGGAAGAGAGCCAUGCAGUGACGGAGGUUGGUCAGCUUAGGGAAGCUGGGGAAGUUGCAGUGCUUCUUGCGACGUUGGACUUAAAUCAAGAUUGAGAACUUGUACUCAUCCUAGACCCUCACCGUUUGGUAGUUUUUGUGAAGGGGAUAACACGCAAGCAGAGAUUUGUGGAAGAGAGUCAUGCAAUGAAACUCGCGUUGCAUUUAACGUAUAUGAGUCCUCUGUCACGGGAUAUAACGAAAGCCACACUGUAAUAUUUACUAGGAUAUUACUUAAUGAAGGGGCAAGCUUACAAUCAAAGUAAUGGAAUCUUUACCGCUCCAUUCAAUGGACUUUACCAGUUCAACGGGCAAGUUUGUACAGCAGUAGGAAAGGAUGUAGAUUACGCCAUUAAAAUCGAAGGAGAGUCUAUUGCAAGCGGAGAAUAUAGAACACCAUCAAAUAAAACUGAUGGAAAAUGUACAUCGUUCAGCACAGUUGCGUCCGUUCAAGAAGGUGAGAAAGUUUGGAUUGAAAGUAGUUAUUUGUUCCAAAACGACAAAGAUUGGAACUCCUUUUCUGGGAUCCUCAUUCACAAAACGUAGAGGAAUUUAUGAUUAACGGAAAACCAGAACGGAACCAAUUACACGAAAAGAUAAAAUUACUUAAUUUUCACACAUAUUUCGAUUUACCGUUUUCAUAAAAUAAAUUUAUAAAUCAGUAGAUAAGGUGUUAAUUCAUGAACACAUUCAGUGUGGAUAAACCAUAAGUAAGCUUAGAACGUACAAGCUUUUUAAGAAUUCGUAAGGAAAAUUAUUGUCAAAUUAAUGCGCCAUUUGCCUACGGAUCAUAUUUAGCUAAAUUCAGGUGGAGCGGUACCCCACUGAGGAUAUAAACAGGGCAUUGCACUUACACACCAGAACAUAAGCGGGAAAUUGAAAAGCAAGUAUUGCUUGACUGUCCUGUGCACAUGUUGGAAAGACAGCAGCUACUUGCAAACUAACUGAAUGAGUUAUAUCCAGGAGAUUUUAGUAGCUUAAGUGAAUCUUAAAACCUUAAAUACUUAAAUAAGAACUGACAAGGAUAUUAGAAAUAUCAAAGGUUAGAAAUAAUUUGUUGUAUUUAUUAAUAAGAAAUAUGUAAAAUGAGUCAUAUCUGAGACCUAACAUACUAUAUCUUAACAAGUUUCAAAACCUUUUUGAGAUCCAUUAACAAAGCUCCAAGUGAUAAUAUUUUAUAAAGGCAAUUACUAUUACUCCUCUAAGAAAAUUUGUCUACAGGAUAUUUGGAAAAAUGUAUUAAUCUGUUCAGUUCUAAUCUGAUCAAAAGAUGAUACGUAUUUUACAAUAUUUUUACUAGAGUACUUUUUGUGCACCUGUCAAUCAUCUCAGUUUCCUUAGAUAAAUCAGUUUUAGCAAUUUUUAAAACAGUACCAUAUGUUGUAGUUGUCAUGAGUAACAGUGUUUCCCAAACUUUUCAAUUAGUAUCUGAAUAAGUACAGCUGUGCAAAUUGUAUUUAGAUUGCUGUAGACUGGGAGCAAUAUCUUUUCCAUUAUUUAUUUAAUCAUGUUAAUUAGGUCGAUAAUUGUAAUCUAUUAUACACAUUUAAUGAAUUGAUGUGUUUAUAACUAUAAAUCAGUAUAUGGAUGUACAAUCUAAUUUGUUGUAUACUUUAUCAUAAAAUACAGCAGUGUUGCAGUCAACCAAUCAUUUAAUUUGCACGUGGUGUUACCUUAGAAAGUACCUUAGUCAUAUGGCUGUGUAGCUAUGUUAUGCUAAUACAAUGUAUAGCCUCUUUAACUCUAUAUUAGAGUGGCAGUAUGCAUAGACAUGUUAAAUAUUUAUUUUAAAUGUACAUACCUGUGAUGUACACUGAUUUUCUUGCUUGUCUGUUUGUUUAUCUAUGUUGGGGGGGGGGGGGGGGGCGGGUGCGUGCGUAUGCGUGUGCGUUUUUGUGUGUGUGUCUGUGAGUUUUUGCGUUAUUAUGAUUUACGGUGUAGGGAGUCUGCAUUUUAGGAACGUGGCUUUCCCUUUUCAAUAUUUAUAAUUGUUUUUCCCCUUCCUGCAAACAACCCCACCCUUUUGUAUACCCAUUACCCUUUUUUUGUAUUUUGCAUACAAUUGAAAUGCAAUUGUUGGAUUUUGAAGCAACCCGUCUACUAUAUUUUUCCUAUACAGUUUCUUUUUUGUUGCGGGCCUACUUUGCGAUACAUGGCUCUAUAACUGUUUAGGUGCUCUGUUCCUGUUAUAUAUGUCUGCAUCUACUUAUUUACAUUUAAUUUGUAUCAAAAUAAUUUUUGAUGAUUGCUAUAAUUAACGGGCAUCGCAUAAAGCCUAAAAAGCUUUAUAUACAUGUAAAAUACAUAUUGGGAACGCACACUCUUAGUUUAGUUUUAGCACACCUUUAUGCCUGAAGAAAAUAUAUAUUAUCUGUAAAUAUUUUGGGAUACCGAUCCGCAUAUUGUUCAUUUAAUGUAUCUCUUUGUAAAUAUAUAUCAUCAAUAACAGAGUCAACUGAUUAAAUUUACACUCUAGCAUUUAUCGCAAGUGUAAAAAUGCUAAAUGGUGUCAAAGAAAAAAAAACAUGGUUUUGGUUAUUGCUUGUUUCAGCAAUUCUUUUGAUUAAAAAAUUAUGACUAUUUCAUACAAAACAAAUUGACGUAAAUGCAAAUGGUAAGUCAGGGUUCAUUAUCAAACUGAGAAAAUAUAUUUAGCUGUUCUCGCUCCGUCUUUUGAUAAUCACCAGUCGCAUAUUCAUACUUAUUUUCACAUUUCCAUUUUCCAAGCUUAAAUCUGACUCGCGAAAUUUCAAAUAUAAAGCCGUUGAAAAUAAAGCAAAAUUAAAGUAUUUUAUAAACAAAGAUAUUCAUAUUUUUUUUAAAUCUUACAAUUGGACUAAUUAAACACCUAAAUUUUCAAAAUAGCGACCAGUUGUUGUAAACAUUUUUAUUUGUACGAUCAACUGUGAACUUGAAUUUUUUAUUAUAUGAGCUUACUUUCAUUAAAAACUCGCCUUUUGGAGAUCCCUUGCAAGCUAUUGAAUGACAUAAAAAAGAAGAGAGCAUCUGUCUAUUUUCAGAAGCUGGUGUGGGUCAUAUAACAACCUUAAUCAUAUGUCUUACUAAGUUUUUUGGCUUUUCCUGUUGGCCAUGCGCUGUUUACCAGUUUCAAGACGCUCCAAAAUUUAAUGGUGAUUAUACAUGAUCGGCAUAGAAAAUUGAGAAAUAUAAGUAACUCGUUACACAUUGACAGUGACAUAUAUUAGGCCAAGACAAUGUGUUUAAUCUCUCCACAAGUUAUUGAAUCAAUGUAGCAGUAUGCCAAUCACUUGAUAUAUUUAGUAAAGUUUAGAUCUCAUUUUGUUUGUACGGUGCAAGACAGUUAUUCAUAUAUGAUUUAAAACUAUAUUGAAAAGAGAUUGACUAAAUAACUUUGCAUAUGAAGUUGUAAAAACACAUUAAUUAAGGAAGGGCAUAAACCUUCCGUCUAUCAUCUUGUAGUAAAGUUUAUUUUACCGGUAUUAUCAGAUUGAUUUACAUGAAGUUUAUGUGCGGAAACGUGGGUCACUAGGUAGUGGUGAGUCUUUAAAUGGAGAGGAAUUUUUUUUCACCAUCGUCAUCAUAAUGUAUGUUUAAAAAGAAAAUGAAGUAGGGAAGUCGAUCAUAUCAAUACAGUAAUCUACGACAAGUCAUUUUGGACAAUCCAUUGAGUCAUCUGCAUGGCUGUAGUCAUCCUAGAAGAAAGUAGAAUGUAGAUAUUGAGCGCAACACGGUUAGGAGAUUACAGUAUAAUCCUUUACAUGUACUUUAUUAUAGAUAGUAUUCAAAUUUAAUACACUAAGUCGUAAACGCUUGUAUUUUAUUUUACCUUAAAUUUUUGUAUAAUGUUUAUAUUUUCUAAUUAGAAAUCAAUAUUUACUGUCAAUUUAUUUAUAAGUGAGAUUUUGUUCUCAUCAACUAAUAUUGCUGCUCCACUUUCAGACUGAGCUGUAACAUUGCAAUGAAAAUUGCAAUGAUAAUUCUCACAACAGUGCUGGCAAAUUGGAGUGGACCUUGACAUGGAAUCACUGGAAUGGGUCCCAGUUCUGUCUGAUCGUUUUAAAGAGAGACACUGUAAAAAUGUUAGUAUGUCAAAAGAUACAAGAAGAACGGAAUUUGAUUUAUACUACAGAAUAGUUAUUUUAAACUUUUAAUGGAACCAUAAAACGCGUGGUCUCGUAUUUAAGCACUUAAUGAGUAAAUGGUAUUAUUUAGAUUGCAUGUAGCUAUUCAAAUUCCUCAUGGUAAAAAUAAUCUGAUAAGUGUUUAACAUAAUACAAGAGGUGCUACGUAAAGAAAGCAUAUCUUAUUCCGUGACAAAACGUUCCUGCAAGAAUAGCUGACAAUUUAGUAUUGUAGUGUUUAUUUAGUUUGUUUCUUCUUUUGAACAUCGACUGUUUCCCUAGGAAAACAAACUCAUUUUAUCUGAAAAAAAGCUUUCUUUCCUAGAUUUUAGUGACACUUGCCUCUUAGAACUAAAAAUGUAAGUAUGUAUAUUGUCCGUGAGAAUUUAUAAAUUGUGUAUAUAA
rnacentral:lncRNA from 1 species